GAUGAACGCUGGCAGAAUGCUUAACACAUGCAAGUCAACUUGAACUUCGGUUUGGGUGGCGGACGGGUGAGUAACGCGUAAAGAACUUGCCUCACAGUUAGGGACAACAUUUGGAAACGAAUGCUAAUACCUGAUAUUAUGAUUUUAGGGCAUCCUAGAAUUAUGAAAGCUAUAUGCGCUGUGAGAGAGCUUUGCGUCCCAUUAGCUAGUUGGAGAGGUAACGGCUCACCAAGGCGAUGAUGGGUAGCCGGCCUGAGAGGGUGAACGGCCACAAGGGGACUGAGACACGGCCCGUACUCCUACGGGAGGCAGCAGUGGGGAAUAUUGGACAAUGGACCAAGAGUGUGAUCCAGCAAUUCUGUGUGCACGAUGAAGUUUUUCGGAAUGUAAAGUGCUUUCAGUUGGGAAGAAAAAAAUGACGAUACCAACAGAAGAAGUGACGGCUAAAUACGUG
rnacentral:rRNA from 1 species